rnacentral:lncRNA from 1 species
UGCAGGUAUAGAGGGAGGAAUGAAAGUUCUUGCUAUGUUUAGAACUGGUGUAGGUUGGGAGGUUCUGGUGAUUGAGGGUGUAAUGUCAGAGGUGGUAUAAAUGGGUUGUGAAGAGAGAGGAUUAGAGGAAGCCAUCAUGAAUUCAGAGGUAGCAGGAGGAACAGACUUACCAGUAGAAAAUUGCAGAGGAGCUGAAGAUCCGCUUCCAGAAGCUCCUUCAAGUCUG